GGCGGACGUAGCCAAGUGGAUUAAGGCAGUGAUGUGAUCUCUAUGCGCGGU
rnacentral:tRNA from 1 species